rnacentral:rRNA from 1 species
AACGAACGCUGGCGGCAUGCCUAACACAUGCCAGUCGAACGAGACCUUCGGGUCUAGUGGCGCACGGGUGCGUAACGCGUGGGAACCUGCCCUUAGGUUCGGAAUAACUCCCCGAAAGGGGUGCUAAUACCGGAUAAUGUCUUCGGACCAAAGAUUUAUCGCCUUUGGAUGGGCCCGCGUUGGAUUAGCUAGUUGGUAGGGUAAAAGCCUACCAAGGCGACGAUCCAUAGCUGGUAUGAGAGGAUGAUCAGCCACACUGGGACUGAGACACGGCCCAGACUCCUACGGGAGGCAGCAGUGGGGAAUAUUGGACAAUGGGCGAAAGCCUGAUCCAGCAAUGCCGCGUGAGUGAUGAAGGCCUUAGGGUUGUAAAGCUCUUUUACACGGGAUGAUAAUGACAGUACCGGGAGAAUAAGCUCCGGCUAACUCCGUG